rnacentral:rRNA from 1 species
UUCCCCCUUCGGGGGGACAGGGUGACAGGUGGUGCAUGGUUGUCGUCAGCUCGUGUCGUGAGAUGUUGGGUUAAGUCCCGCAACGAGCGCAACCCUCGCCUCUAGUUGCCAGCAUUCGGUUGGGCACUCUAGAGGGACUGCCGGCGACAAGUCGGAGGAAGGUGGGGAUGACGUCAAAUCAUCAUGCCCCUUAUGACCUGGGCUACACACGUGCUACAAUGGGCGGUACAAAGGGCUGCGAACCCGCGAGGGGAGCGAAUCCCAAAAAGCCGCUCUCAGUUCGGAUUGCAGGCUGCAACUCGCCUGCAUGAAGCCGGAAUCGCUAGUAAUCGCGGAUCAGCAUGCCGCGGUGAAUACGUUCCCGGGCCUU